GCGGCGAAGUCCACAAAGCUGUAAAGCGGAACGACGCUGUCGCCAUACUUGUCGAAUCCACUCAACUCUCUCUUCGCCUUGGCUCGAAGCUCCUCCGCCACUUCCAUGGCCUUCUCCAUACCGUACACGUCCACAUAGCUCUUCCCUUUCUUUUUCUUCUCUUCGUCUUCCUCACUCUUCGUCUUCGCUUUCAGCACAUCGUCCACCACCUGGUACAACAUCCCGACAGCUCGGCCGUAUCUCCUAAGGCGUAGGAUAUCAUCGUCGGCGGCGCCGCCCAGGAACCCGCCACAAACAGCGGAGCACUCAGCCAUCUCGCCGAACUUCUUGCGCUGGACGAAGUCGACGGAGUUGGGGGCGCCCUCGAGGUCGAGGAACUGGCCGGCGGCCAUGCCGGUGGAGCCGACGGAGCGGGCGAUUUCCGCGAUGACGCGGAUGAGCUGGCCCUCUGGGACGAGGUGGGAAGGGGUGUGGGAGACGAUGUGGCGGAAUCCGAGGGGGAAGAGGGCGUCGCCGG
rnacentral:lncRNA from 1 species